GACUCCUUGGCUGCCGAAAUUGAGGGAACCAUGCGCAAGGAGCUGCAGCUGGAAGAGCCGGAGUCCCCAGACAUCACCCACCAGAAGCGUGUCUUUGAGACGGUGAGAAAUGUCAAUCAAGUGGUCAAGCAGAGAUCGCUAACCCCUUCCCCCAUGAACAUCCCGGGCUCCAACCAGUCUUCAGCCAUGAACUCCCUCCUGUCCAGCUGCGUCAGCACCCCCCGUUCCAGCUUCUACGGCAGCGAUGUCAGCCACGUGGUCCUCGAUAACAAAACCAACAGCAUCCUCCUGGAAACUGAGGCAGCCGACCUGGGGAAUGAGGAGCACAAUAAGAAGCCGGGCACACCAGGCACACCAGGCUCCCAUGACCUGGAGACGGCACUUAGGCGGCUAUCCCUGCGCCGAGAGAACUACCUAUCUGAGCGGAGGUUCUUCGAGGAGGAGCAGGAGAGGAAGCUGCGAGAGCUGGCUGAGAAGGGAGAGCUGCACAGUGGCUCGCUCACGCCCACCGAGAGCAUCAUGUCCCUGGGCACACACUCACGCUUCUCCGAGUUCACGGGCUUCUCCGGCAUGUCCUUCAGCAGCCGCUCCUACCUGCCCGAGAAGCUGCAGAUCGUGAAGCCACUCGAAGGUGACCACCAGGGGCCUCGGCCCCUCUCUGUCCUCCUCUGCGACUCUCUCUGGGCCCUGAUCCACCACAGGAAGGCCAGCCACCGGUGUCCUACCUAUUCAUUUUUCUUUCGGGAUAGCCACCCACGCUGUUGGUUUGAGUUCCUCUGAGGCGGCCUCUGUUUCUGCAGUCUCUGUCAUGGCUUGAGCAGUACACUCUUGGGCGAAACCUGCAGGUGGCCUGUAGGUCUCUUACUUUUGUCCUUAGUGCCUUAAGACCCAAGCCUAGUGGCAGCCACACAGCUUCAGACCCUCCACGGUAGCUGUGUGACAACAAGCUGCUUCUGGAUAACCCAGGGGUCUGAGACGGGAGGGGAAGGAAUCCGUUGGCUCCUCAUAGAUUUUAUUGUCAAAUCGAGCAUUGUGACCCCCGCCCCAGGCAUGUGGAAGUGUUGUGUGUGAUCACGUGUUCCAGUCUGUUCUUCAUAGAGAGGCUUUCUGGAGGUGUGCUUUGCCGAGAGUCAGGCCCCCUGCAAUCUCCAGUGUAGAGAGGAAAGAGGGAGAGAGAGAUGGAGGUCAGCCGUUCAGACUCCACUGACACCCACCCCACCCAUAGUACUGGGAGGGGCUGCUCAGAAACUGAGUUCCUAGAAGACCUCACUGUUUC
rnacentral:lncRNA from 1 species